UGGGGAAUUUUGCACAAUGGGGGCAACCCUGAUGCAGCGACGCCGCGUGAUUUAGAAGGCCUUCGGGUUGUAAAAAUCUUUUGUAUAGGAAGAAAAUGACAGUACUAUACGAAUAAGGUCCGGCUAAUUACGUGCCAGCAGCCGCGGUAAUACGUAAGGACCGAGCGUUGUCCGGAAUCAUUGGGCGUAAAGGGUACGUAGGCGGUUAAAAAAGUUAGAAGUGAAAGGCUAUAGCUCAACUAUAGUAAGCUUUUAAAACUGUUUAACUUGAGAGAUGGAAGGGAAAGUGGAAUUCCUAGUGUAGCGGUGAAAUGCGCAGAUAUUAGGAGCAAUACCGGUGGCGAAGGCGACUUUCUGGCCAUUAUCUGACGCUGAGGUACGACAGCGUGGCUCGCAAAUCGG
rnacentral:rRNA from 1 species